UCAGUUUGAAUCCUGCCCAGCUUCCAGGAGGCCCUCCUUGAUUGCCCUAACCCACGAUCUCUGCCACCUCCCAAGUAGUGCAUAGAACCUGAAUUUUGGACACCAGUGCCUGGGUGGGCUGUACCCUCUGGGUUUCUCUUGUGCCAAACACCUGUUCUUGAUGAUCCUAGGGGAAUCAGGUUGAGCUUCAGAGCAUCCCGGUGGUCCUGGAAGCUGCUGCCCCAUGUGGUUUGCCUGCCCUGUACCUACCUGGUGGUUGGCAGGUGCACUUUGGUUCCUGCAGCCCAAAUAUAGGCCAAGCUGCAUCCUGCCUGUCCUUAGGCCCAAGACAAGGGUGCUCACCAAAACGGGUGCUUGCCAGACCUUUCUGUGGCAUGACCAUGGGCAUGCUUCCUUCACACUGACUGACCUGGGCAAGGGUACAGCCCAGCCACGCGUCUGGAGCAUGAGUCACUCAUUUGUUUACCUGUACAUCUUAGCGCCCCCUCUGUUCGAAGCACUGGGGUUGCAGGAUGACCCUAUUCAGGUGUCUGUCCCCAGCUAGCUCAAGAGUUCCACGAGGCUGAAAACAGUGAUAGCAACUGCUGACAUUUAGUGAGCACUCCCUCUGGGCCAGGGCCUGACAAGGAUACAGCAGCCAGAGAGGAAAUCUGUCAGGCCACGCCCCUCCCCUGCUCCCAGCCCUGCAACCAGUCUGACAGCAAGUAAGAGGAAAAGAGAGCGUGCUCAUGGCCUGCAAGACCCUGCCUGGCCCUUGUCCUCUGGCCUCGGCACCUCCUCUCCCAUGCCUCUCCUUCCACUGACACCAGCCUUCUGCCGGUCUUCAAAUCUGUGUCAAGACCUUGCUUGCUCUUCUCGCCACUUGGAACCUUCUCUACAUACUUGCACGGCCGGCUUCUCGACUCAAUAAGUUCUAAGCUCGUCUGUUGCAAUUUUGUCUCUUCAGGGAAGCCUUCCCUGACCAUCCUUUCUAAAAAACACCCCGUCACUCUCCUUAAGCCCUUUCUCUGAUUUGGAUUUUGUUAUAGCACUCACAACCAUCUGACAUUAUAUUGUGUAUUUAUUUAUCCGCCUGUUUCUCUGCACUCAUGGGGACUUUGUUUUGUUCACUGCAGAACACCCCUCCCCUAGAAUAGCACCCGGCACAGCGCAGGGCUCAGAAGCUGUGGAAUGAAUGAAUGCUUUACAUCCUUGAGGUUCGGGAGGGCCUUCCAGGUGGGCGAGGAGAAGACUGCCUCUAGAGAUGGGAACUCUGUGUGGCCCAAGGCAGCUCUUUUCCGGGCAGUCUCCGGGGUUGCAGCAACGUCGCUCUCAGUCCCUUCUACUGAGAGACGGCCACUUGGCUUACAUGCUCACAGAACGGAGGAAGGCCAGGGUGAGGAGGGGCUCCCUGCUCUGGUGUGGAGAGCAAACACGAGCCUUGACGUCAGCGUUUUUCUCAUCUCUGCUCUGAGAGGUCUGCCCUGUUGGCCCGAGGAGGACUUUUUGGACAAGUUCUUUUCACAGUAAGAAAAAUAGCAAUUCAUUGUUACCUGUAACUGCUGAUUACAUCUUGGGGAACUUUUGAUAUUUUCCUCCAUGGACAUGAUUUCAGCACAAAAGUUAAAGGAGUUCUCUGGUGUCUGCUUGCUCUUGCUCAGCAGCGGAACUAAACAUUGAUUUGGGCUGGUGGCCUUUGAGGCCCCCAGCGUCAGGGCUGACCCGGGAUCUCAUGGGCAGGGGCUGUGGUGGAGCAGGCACCGGCGGAGAGGCUGACGGGCUUGCAUGCUCCUGGUUCCCCAUGGCGGGGCCUUGGGCAUGUCUUUGGACAGCUCUCAGCCAGUUUCUCCUCUAAAGGAGAACUUGGAGUUCCUUAGCAGGAGGAAAAUGUCCCUUUAAGACAUCUUCUGCUCCACACAGCCCUCCAGCUGGCUGGCUCAGUGACAAUACUUUUGAUUUUCUGAUUGUAUCUAACGGAAACUUGGACUUAAACAAGAUGUUUCUUUUUCUUUUCUUUCUUUCUCUCCUUUUUUUUUUUAUGUGAACAUCCAGGCAAGAUGGGCUUUGGGGCAGUUUGAUUCAGCAGCUCAGAGUGAUGUUUUCAAGGACUUGCGCCUUCUCUAAUCUGCCGUCCUUCCCGUUGUCCACCCUCAGGCAGACGGACAAGGAUACCAGAUGGAAACCGGGCCUACAUGCAAAGCAAUGAAGACCAGCGGGAACGGUGCCUGCCUGGGUGCGUGUAUGUGAGACUUGUUCCUGGUAUUUCGACUCCUUUAAGACAAUUCUUUACAUAAAGAUAGCAAAAGUAUAUUGUGAUGUUUAUAGCAUAUAUGAAAGUAAAAAACAUGACAACCACAUUACAAAGGCUGGGAAGGUCUCAUCCAUUGUACUUCCAUUGUAGAAAUGGAAGUAUACUGUUGUAAAGCCUAAAUUAAUCCCUAAAAUAUCCAAAAAGUUAUAGACAAUAAACCAAGGAGAUUAAAAUGCAAAAUGUCCUUGAUUUACCCAAAAGAAGGCAGGAAAAGAGGAAAAAGCGAACAACAGAUAGGACGAAUAGGAAAUAACUGGCAAGAUGAUAGACACAAACCUACCCAAACCAACAUUCCUAUUAAAUUUAAUUGUCCAAACACUCCAAUUAAAAAGCAGAGAUUGUAAAAUUGGAUUAAAAAGCAAAGCCAAACUUUACACUGCUGUAAGAAACACAUUUUAAAUAUAAAAACGCAAAUAGGCUAAAAGUAAAAGGGUGGAAAAAGAUAUACUGUGCCAACAUUAACCAAAAGCAAGUGGGAUUGGCCACAUUAAUAUCAAAGUGGGUUUCAGAGCAAAGACUAUUAUUACAAGGGAUAAAUUGAUCCAAAAAAUAGUAUGUACCUAACAGAGUUCCAAGAUACAUCGAGCAAGAACAAAACUGCAAUGAGAAAUACACAAACCUACAAUUAUGAUCCAAGAUUUCAAUACCCUACUUUCAAGCAUUUAUAUAACAAGCAAGCACAACAAUCAGCAAGGACACAACAGACUCGAACAACACUAUUAACCAGCCGGACCUGACAUUUCCAGAAUACUCCACUCAGAACAGCAGGAUCUCCUAUUCUUUCCAUGUGUACAUUGAAUACUUAUCCAGACAGACCAUAUUCUGGGCCACAAACAAAUAUCUCAAUAAAUUCAAAAGGUUUAAGUCAUAUUGUACAAUACAAAGUCUCGGCCCAAAUUCUAUUAUGAAUCAAUAAUAGAAAGAUCCCUGAGAAUAAAAUCCCCCAAUACUUGGAAAGUAAAUAACACAUGAUUUUUAAAAAUAAAAUCAGAUAUUAGAAAGUAUCUUGAACUGAAUGUCAAUGAAACAACACAUACCAUAAUUUCUGGGAUGUUGCUACAGCAAUACUUAGGAAGCAAUUUAUAGAAUUGAGUACUUAUAUUAGG